rnacentral:rRNA from 1 species
ACGGAAGGCAGCAGUGGGGAAUAUUGGGCAAUGGGCGAAAGCCUGACCCAGCAACGCCGCGUGAAGGAAGAAGGUCUUCGGAUUGUAAACUUCUUUUAUGUGGGACGAACAAAUGACGGUACCACAUGAAUAAGCCACGGCUAACUACGUGCCAGCAGCCGCGGUAAUACGUAGGUGGCAAGCGUUAUCCGGAUUUACUGGGUGUAAAGGGCGCGUAGGCGGGGAAGCAAGUCAGAUGUGAAAUCCAUGGGCUCAACCCAUGAACUGCAUUUGAAACUGUAGCCCUUGAGUAUCGGAGAGGCAAGCGGAAUUCCUAGUGUAGCGGUGAAAUGCGUAGAUAUUAGGAGGAACACCAGUGGCGAAGGCGGCUUGCUGGACGACAACUGACGCUGAGGCGCGAAAGCGUGGGGAGCAAACAGGAUUAGAUACCCUGGUA